UGUCUCUUCGGAGACAUCCGAUAAAAUUGGAACGAUACAGAGAAGAUUAGCAUGGCCCCUGCGCAAGGAUGACACGCACAAAUCGAGAAAUGGUCCAAAUUUUUUUUCGCUCUCGGCAUUCUUUCCUUCUUCGAUUUCGAUCGGGCUGCUCUUUUGUUCUUUCUUGCUUCGUGUUCUUCUGCUCUCUCUGUCCCAAAAUCUUCAUCUUUUUCUCGUUCUUUUCCUUCUUAUUUCCUUGAUCAAGGCACAGGGAGGAAGAAAGCUGCUUCUUCGGAGUGCGGUCGUGUUCCUUGUCCUCGUUGGUCUGUCCAUGGACGCUGGUCCUCUUCCUCGCUCGCUGAUCCACACCAAUGCGGACGCCUCCGAAUCAAAUCGCAUGAUGUGCUGCCCUUGGUCCGAAGCGCCGCUGCGAGGAAAAAGAUUGUCCGACAUCACCAACACGGUGAGUUCGGGGACGGCCGGAAUGAUGGGUGCCGAUGUCGAUCAAGGUAACUCGAAUGUGAUUUCUUGCCCGAUCUCCAAAGAUUGCAUCGUCCAGCUCAUGAAGGUACCUUUGGAGAUUUUCUUUUUGGUCUCCCUUUUUCAUCUUUCUUUCAUUCUUCAUCAGCAUUUAGUGUUUGUUUCUAAAAAAGAUGUUUGAAAAUGCUUUUUUCUUUACAUGAUCAAUAUGAAUUCCAGGAAAAUACUGCCUUGUUGAAGCUUCUUGCAGAAAAGAACAAAAUCAUAGAACUGAGUAGCACCGAGUUGCAAAAACUCCAAUUUGAAUUGCGGAAAACCAGUCAACAAAACUGGCAAUUGGCCCGGGCUAACUCACACAUGCUAGCGGUCGAUUCCUUGUUCAUUUUCUUUAUUGUUUCAGUUCGCAAAAAAGAUUUAUUCUUUAUCUGUUUCGUCUUUUGAUUCGCAGGAGCUCAACUUGGGGAAAGAAAGAGUAUGUUUUCUUUACAUACUUUUUUCUUUACAUAAUCAAUAUGAAUUCCAGGAAAAUACUGCCUUGUUGAAGCUUCAUGCAGAAAAGAACAAAAUCAUAGAACUGAGUAGCACCGAGUUGCAAAAACUCCAAUUUGAAUUGCGGAAAACCAGUCAACAAAACUGGCAAUUGGCCCGGGCUAACUCACACAUGCUAGCGGUCGAUUCCUUGUUCAUUUUCUUUAUUGUUUCAGUUCGCAAAAAAGAUUUAUUCUUUAUCUGUUUCGUCUUUUGAUUCGCAGGAGCUCAACUUGGGGAAAGAAAGACUAAAGGUAUUAACAACAUGAGCUUGGUUGUGCCUUAUCAAUCCUUAAACUAAAGACUUCAGAAUUAGAGAUAGGAAGCACCAAGUGUGAGGAGGUUGAAGCAAAUGCAACUCAACUUGCUAAUGACAAGAAAAUCUGCAAUCCCAAUAAGAAGUGCAAGUUAAAACAACAGCCUUUAGAUCGUACCACUUUGGUUCAUCAAGUGGCAUCAGAGGGAAAGGUUGAUGGUAGAAGGAAAAUAUUGCCUUGUUGAAGCUUCUUGCAGAAAAAAACAAAAUCAUAGAACUGAGUAGCACUGAGUUGCAAGAUUGCAAGAAGAUCCUACAGCGAUCGGAGGAAAUCUUUAGACACUAUGGAUUUGUAAAUCCGGACACCUAUUCUUUCCUUAAACCAUACGUUCAUCAUCCCCUUUCUACUCCCACCGAUAGUUGUCUUAGUAACUCCAUGCUUAUGUUUCAUAUGACAUAACAGCAAAGUAACUUGCCAAUUCUGCAAUCCACGCAAUUAAUAUUACUUGUUGGUGCUUCUUGCGAUCA